rnacentral:tRNA from 1 species
GAACUUCUAGUUAAAUAUAUAAUAUUAGUUUGUCAAACUAAAGUUACUCUUAAGAGUGAAGUUCU